CACCCGGGAACCCCAAAAACUUCCCCGGGGACCCCAAAUUCCUCCUGACCCCCCCCAGGUGAUCUCAGCACCCCGGCACAGCUGGGCAAAGCUGUGACGUCACUCGCCAUCGCGGGGUCCCCGCUCGCCCCCGAGCCCCGGGACCCCCAAAUUGGGGGCGGCUCCAGCCCCGAGAGCGGCUCCGACAGCGCCGCCCCCCGCGGGGCGCCCCCAGGGCCCCUCUCCGAUGGCCCCGCCCAGUCCAGCGAGUCCGAGGAGGGUCUCUGACGCCGCCGCUCCCGAUGGAUUCUCCCGCGGGACCUUCCACGAGAGUCCCCAAAUGUCCCUCCCGAUGUCCCCAAGUGUCCCCGGGCUGGGGGGCCCUGGGGGUGGCCGGACCCCCCCGUGUGUCCCGGGGGGGCCCCAACCCCAAAUAAAAACCUGCAGAGCCACCGGAGGGACACUGGGGGGAUUGGGGGGGACAUUGGGGGGACAUUGGGGACAUUGGGGACAUUGGGGACACUGGGGACA
rnacentral:lncRNA from 1 species